UGUUAUGGCGGCUGUACGCGGGGCACUUCGGUGCGCCGGGAUGCUCCUCAACCGGUCUGCUAACCCGCGUACAGCUGCCACCCUU
rnacentral:antisense_RNA from 2 species